rnacentral:rRNA from 1 species
GAUGAACGCUGGCGGCGUGCUUAACACAUGCAAGUCGAACGGUGAAGGCGGAGCUUGCUCUGCUGGAUCAGUUGCGAACGGGUGAGUAACACGUGAGCAAUCUGCCCCUGACUCUGGGAUAAGCGCUGGAAACGGCGUCUCAUACUGCAUACGAGCUGCGAAGGCAUCUUCAGCAGCUGGAAAGAACUUCGGUCAGGGAUGAGCUCGCGGCCUAUCAGCUUGUUGGUGAGGUAACGGCUCACCAAGGCGUCGACGGGUAGCCGACCUGAGAGGGUGACCGGCCACACUAGGACUGAGACACGACCCAGACUCCUACGGGAGGCAGCGGUGGAGAAUAUUACACAAUGGGCGAAAGCCUGAUGCAGCAACGCCGCGUGAGGGACGACGGGCUUCGGGUUGUAAACCUCUGUUAGCAGGGAAGAAGCGAAAGUGACGGUACCUGCAGAAAAAGCGCCGGCUAACUACGUG